rnacentral:miRNA from 15 species
CUAUACAGCCUGCUAGCUUUCC